rnacentral:rRNA from 1 species
GAUGAACGCUAGCGGCAGGCUUAACACAUGCAAGUCGAGGGGUAUAGAGAGCUUGCUUUCUAGAGACCGGCGCACGGGUGCGUAACGCGUAUGCAAUCUACCUUUCACAAAGGGAUAGCCCAGAGAAAUUUGGAUUAAUACCUCAUAGUAUUAUAGAAUGGCAUCAUUUUAUAAUUAAAGAUUUAUCGGUGAAAGAUGAGCAUGCGUCCCAUUAGUUAGUUGGUAAGGUAACGGCUUACCAAGACUACGAUGGGUAGGGGUCCUGAGAGGGAGAUCCCCCACACUGGUACUGAGACACGGACCAGACUCCUACGGGAGGCAGCAGUGAGGAAUAUUGGACAAUGGGCGCAAGCCUGAUCCAGCCAUGCCGCGUGCAGGAUGACGGUCCUAUGGAUUGUAAACUGCUUUUAUACAGGAAGAAACCCUCCGACGUGUCGGAGCUUGACGGUACUGUAAGAAUAAGGAUCGGCUAACUCCGUGCCAGCAGCCGC